UCGUCGCGAGGAUCGGGAGAGCGUCCGCGGCGGUGAGACCGCCGGAUCCGGCGAUCGCCGUCGAGCCCAGGUUCAGCGCCCGCGUGUUGAUC
rnacentral:tRNA from 1 species